rnacentral:rRNA from 1 species
AGCAGCCGCGGUAAUUCCAGCUCCAAUGGCGUAUAUUAAAGUUGUUGCAGUUAAAAAGCUCGUAGUUGAAUUUCGGGGUCAGUAGGUCGGUCGUGCCACUGGUAUGCACUGGUCUCACUGAUUCCUCCUUCUUGUAGAACCGUAAUGCCAUUAAGUUGGUGUUGCGGGGAAACAGGACUGUUACUUUGAAAAAAUUAGAGUGUUUAAAGCAAGCUAACGCUUGAAUACAUUAGCAUGGAAUAAUGAAAUAGGACGAACGAUCCUAUUUUGUUGGUUUCUAGGAUUGACGUAAUGAUUAAUAGGGAUAGUUGGGGGCAUUAGUAUUCAAUUGUCAGAGGUGAAAUUCUUGGAUUUAUUGAAGACUAACUACUGCGAAAGCAUUUGCCAAGGAUGUUUUCAUUAAUCAAGAACGAAAGUUAGGGGAUCGAAGACGAUCAGAUACCGUCGUAGUCUUAACCAUAAACUAUGCCGACUAGGGAUCGGAUGAUGUUAAUUUAUAAUGACUCAUUCGGCGCCUUAA